rnacentral:rRNA from 1 species
UACAGGGGGUGCAAACGUUGCUCGGAAUCAUUGGGCGUAAAGCGCGCGUAGGCGGUUACUUAAGUUGGAUGUGAAAGCCCUCGGCUUAACCGAGGAAGUGCAUCCAAAACUGAGUAGCUAGAGUACGAAAGAGGGUCGCGGAAUUCCCGGUGUGAGAGGUGAAAUUCGUGAGAUAUCGGGAGGAACACCGGUGGCGAAGGCGGCGACCUGGGUCGAGACUGACGCUGAGGCGCGAAAGCGUGGGGAGCAACAGG